CUGAGCUAGCUUUGCUCAGUCUUCAUGAGGGGAGAGGGAGAAGGAUACUGCUUUUAGCAUUCUGCUGAAUCACAGUAGGAAUCUCAGGAUUUUUGUCUGCCAUCUGAAUCAGUCUUCGAAGCUUAUUGAGUUCCCUGGAGCACAGUGAGCAUACAAAUUGAGCUGAUGAGGAAUCUACUCACGGUCUCUCUUCUGCUUAAUAACAUUUUCUAGAUUGAAGUGAGAUACAAGCAUCUCUUCUUUACCCUGUGGAGAGUAUACUAAGAAGUAUUUUCUUAUUUCUGACCUUUUCAAACUCCAAAGGAUAUUUUCCUCAUCUGCUAUACUUUCAAGGAGGCAGUGAUGGUAGCAGGAGGCAGGUGCAGAUCCGGAAUCCCCAGGCAGUUGAUGGAGCUGACCUGGCUCCUCCGGGACUCAGACAUGGACCAUGAUGGCCGGAGGGAUUUCUGGAAUCAGUCCACAUCCACACACCAGGAAACGACUAUAGAUGUUUUGGGGGAGUGUCUGUUUCCAUGAAGAGUCUUGAUGCAAUUUUCUCCUGUUUGUAAGAGAUUGUAUUACAAAGUAUGUGCACUG